AAAAAUCCCCAAACCAACAAAAAGCAAUCUUUUCCUGGUGCUGACAUUAGUCUGCUCUCAGUCUUGGUCCCCCAACCCUCUUAACCAAGUCUGUAGCACAGAUCAUAUUUUAUUUACAGAUGUAUAUUAAGGCAGCCUUUUAUUUUGGGAUCACAUUACUUGCAUUUGUACUGUAGAGAUUUUUAAUUCUGAAAGCUGCUGCCAUCUUUUGUGUACACACUUUAAGCAGAGUUUUUGUUUUUCCCAAGUACUUGUACUGACUUUCAGAUAUUUAAUAUCUGAAGUUGUGGUUCUCUUUGAUUCAUCGGCUGUUAAAGCAUGUUGGCUAUACUAAAACUGGCAAAGGGGUUAAACAAGAGCAAAAAAGCAGUAUUCCAGAGAACCAGGAUAUCAGAAAAUAUUCCUUUCUUGAAGGUACGUUACCACCUAGCAAAUACUGAGAAUAAUGGUCACACAAAUAGAAAAAAGGAAAUUCAAAAGGCCUGUGAAAUUUUGCUUGAUUUUGAAAAGCUUAAUUGAAGAAAGCGCUUGAGAUUUGAGCAUUCCUACCAAGCUCUUUGUGCAAAGGGGAUUGUCUCUGUAUGGAUGUGGCACAUCAUCGGCAGGACAGAAUAAGUCAACUGUUCAGCUGGCUCUGCUGUAGCUCUAACCCUCCACAGCUGAGAAUGUUCACAUCAGGAAGGGGAGUAGAAGGAUGAUAAAUUAACUCCUUCUGACAUUUCAGAAGAUGUGUAUGCUGCAAUGCAGAGCCCUUGGUGCUGAAAGUAGCUUAGACAAAGAGGUUAUGGCACAGGGGCCAUAGCUGGCAUGAAGAUAACAGGGUUUUGCUCUAGAAUGACAUGUUCUUUUAGUCUCUGUUUUACACACAUAAUUCUUUGAGGAAUCUCAUCUUUUGAGGAUGAUGAAUUUGGUAAGAAAAAUGGAAGAGGAUCAGAUUGUUACACAAGAAGAACUAAAUGAGCUUUCACUAGAAGGCUACGAACAACAUGAAAUAAUGUAAUACCCAGUGCAAAGUUACUCGCAUUAUUGUUAAGGGCAAAAUGCUAGAAUUUCUGCUGUAAAUACUGAGUGAUUAAGAGCUUGAAAACUCCAUUCAUGAAUGAGUAUUUCUUGCUCCAGUCAUCAGACAUCUACACCAAAGCAUAAGUAAGAUGAAAGGCAAGGCUGUGAUGUAAUGUGGAGCUGAUGAGAUAGCUCCAUACUGAGAGCAGAACUGGAGAUGAAAUCAAAGAUGACUGAAUGGCAUUGACUGCACCUCCCUGAAAAGGUAAAGAAGCACAGACGGGUAGAGCCUUUCAAUAAUUAUAAGAAAUUAGACAUAAAAAACAAGACCCAGAAGACAAAAUGUGAAAACAGCUCACGUAACAUUGCAAUCUCAUGGCUUAUGCUGUCAGCAAAAAAAGACUGGAUUAAUUUCUGCAGACUCAACAGUAACUGCCAUACGGCAGCAGUUAGUACUAUUGAAAUGCUGGAUCUGAUGGUAACCAACUAGGCUGUAGUGACUCGGAACAGAUGUCCUCAGAAAAGCAUGAGACAGCAUUCUGCAAUGUGAAAGAAAUCCUUGCCUGUAAGUCUAAACUGAUGGUUCGUUUUGUGGACUGGGACAUGUAUCUCUCCUGAGAUAGGAAUUUUAGCUUUUCCCUUGUUUUAUGUCAGUAGAUACCCAGUCUGGUCCUUAGCGAAGCUGGAACAGUCUUCGUAAAUGCAUCCUAGAGGAUAUUAAUUUUCAGCAGUUACAUACGUUCUAAAUACAAGCAUUAGGACUAGCAGGGACUAGCCUGCAUUUUUCAGUAUAUUCAAAGAGCGUAGUGUCAUGAACAGCUCCUCUCUAGCUCAUUGUGGAUUCCUGUUUUGUCAUGAUCUAGGCGUAACUGACCUUGAGCUGAGCUGUUUGUAUUCCCUCUUGGAGUAAGACUGUUUAAGCUCAUGCAGUUCUUUACCAUUGAGCAGUUACAACUGAAGCCACUUAUGUGAAGCUUACCUCAGAAAGUUUGAAGUUGCUGCCUAAUAUUUGUCCAGUGGACAGACGUAGGAUUUGAACUUGCAGUCAGCCAAGAGUGGCUGAAGUCCUGAGGGUCAAAGAACCCACAUUCAACCCCAGUGAGGAAGAAUCCUGGAACACACAAUAGCUGUAAACUUUAUGCCCAUGCUCCCCACCUAAAGUGAGGGGGAAGGAGGCAGACUGUGAUCUCUGUGUUUAACAGGGGAAGGAGUAAAGACUGUGAUCUCUAUGCUUAAAUGCUGUUCAAAAGAUACAAAAAAAAAAAUUGUCAUUUUACAACCUUUACUCAGAAGUAGUUUAUCUAAGGACUACUCUUGAAGGGAAUUGCUAGUAAGGUCAGGCUGGAAGGCCAGAUACAGGCAGAAUUUAGUAUUAAACUAAUGUUCCUUCUCUUGUGUUGUAUAUUGCAUACAGGUUUGCUGCUGUCUUGUCUGAACCAGCUUUUCUUCUCACUUUGCUUAAGAAGAAUCAUGUGAAUAAAAAGGUAUUUUUCAUAAGGUAUGUUGCUGGGAAGUACAAGAUGCAAAAUACUGAAGCCUGCACUAGAACGAAAAAUAAAAUUCCAUAUAAUACUUUUCA